GGAUGUCUGGGCUCUGUGUGCUGCUUCUGCUCAUCCCUUGCUCCCCAGGCACAGCCCCUCCUAGGGCUGCCAAUGGGGACAGGGCUGCUGCCACCAUGGAGAGAAAUGCUUUGCCCCACGUCAUGCAACCCUUUGGGGCUUCCAGCAAGGAACCAGCAACACGUUUAUUUCCUUGUUCCCCCAGCCUGGGCUGUUGCUAACAGGAGAAGGCACAACGCACUAGGAAGAGGAGAUAAGAAGGAAACGUGUAGCAGCACAUCAAAACUAUUUCCAGCCUAAGAAGAUUUUCUGAGCGAUAUUUACAGCAUUUGCUGAUGAGACAGCAUCAGCUCUACCACAACACGGUGCUCUGGCUGAGCAAGCCAAUCUUAAACACCUGUUGUUCUUCACCACGAGUGUUUUCAUAGACACGAUUCUGUACAUGGUGCAGGCGAAAAGUUCCACUGGACUUCAGGCUUAGACACUCCCCAAGUCCUCCACAAAUGUCAGGCAGAUAGGGAUACUGAAAUACAGAUUUCUGUGCCGCGAUGAAAGCGACCCUGGAGCCUUAAUGACAAUAAAAUAAAAUUAUGAAAAUACAUCAUUUCAAUUCCACAGGAAUCCAAAUGAUCUGCAAAAACUCCCUACGCAAUUUUCCUGCAGCAGAGCUCCUAAUGAAGCUGAGGGGCCAACCUUCCCCCUACACCACACAGCCUGCCAGUGGUGGAUGGUGCAGGGCUGUGAUGAGCUUAAUGGGUAAACUCAGGCUUCAAGGUGGAGACCAAGCCACUGAGGUCCAGUUGCUGGCCGUAUCUUAGCCCUCAGUCAACUGCUUUUCUUAGUGAUGGACCAUCACUUGAUACAAACUUAAUUGUGAGGCAUUUCUCUGGGGCAUGUUAAGAUAGGUUGCGAUUUCAACACUUGUUAUUUGGACUAGUGUUUUAAGUAGUUAUCUUUAAGCAGUCUCAAAUGGAAUAAGCAGUAAGGAAAACAUCCAAGAUGACCACUUAAUCCAUACAUUUUUUGCAUAAUUGAGAUCCCUAGAUGUUGCAUUAUAUUGUCUUGGACAACCAGGA